rnacentral:lncRNA from 1 species
AAUAAUUGUACCAACAUUUCCUGUUGGCUUUGCUUCUGGGAUUUAAUUGGUGUUCCUCUUGUGGUCUGAGUUGUUGCUACAAGUUGUGAAGUUACAAGAAACUCUUGUUGAGUUUCUUGUAAAUUUCUGCUUUUUGUUGUAUUGUCUGCCUGCUGACUCAAAUAAUGAAGUCAAUUUCCAACUGUUGUGAAUUGCCGUGAUAAACUUGGUUCAAUGCAAGAAAGAAAAUUAUGAAUGAAGUGUUAUGGAAGUUUAUUUUUACAUUGGAAAACUAUUUUGUUUUUUCACAGAGUCUACAGCUGUUGUGCAGAUUACCUGACAGGGAAAAAACAAACCUAAAACCAAAAACUUCCUUCCCUGUAAAGCUUCCAUCUGUGUCCUGAAAGGUCUGCAUGGACUGUCCUGAAAUGCCAACUGGCUGUCAAUGUCAUCCAUCAAGGGUCGAGCAAGGACUCACUGUGACAGACACCCUGCCUUGGAGAGAACCUGGGCUGGCUGUACUGAUCCCAGAGUGGUGCAACCUGGCACAGCAGCAAAAUGCAUCCAUGUCAAUGCUCCUGAUAGCAGCAGUCAAAGGAACACAGGCUGGGAACUCAUGGCUCUGUCCCUGCCUCUGGGUGACCGUAGGGAAAUUCUUUAUUGCCUCUCUGCUUCAGAGUCCUCUCCCUUACCUAGAGAAGAAAUCCAGUGUACCCCCAGCUGGGUAGUUGCAACAAAGAUAGAGCAGCACAUCGCUUGGGGCCUGUGAUUUAAAACUGGAUUUUCUUAUUCUGUACUAAUUUCACUGACUAUCACAAAUCUCUAUUUUUUUCAGUCAUGCAUUUAAAAAUCAGAAUAAGCAGACUGGGGCUGGAAGGAUUAAUAUGUUUCCUUUGAUACUAGAAUUCUAGUAUUUUGGACUGUGCACUGCAUUUCUUUUCUCCAAGACUGCAUAUAAAAUGCUAUUUGCUGACUUCUCAUCUAUAUAAUUAAAGCUAGCUCUAUUAUCAGAAGGAUUCUUAUGAGGCUUAGCUGCUCUCC